rnacentral:hammerhead_ribozyme from 1 species
AUCUAACUGACGAGUCAAAAAUAUGACGAAAUGCUCAUCCUGGAU